UAUGGAGUAUCCAUGACUGAAUACAUAGGUCAUGUGAAGCGAACGCGGUGAACUGAAACAUCUAAGUAACCGCAGGAAAAGAAAUCAACCGAGAUUCCCAAAGUAGUGGCGAGCGAAAUGGGAUGAGCCUUGUACUCUUUAUUCGUAUUGUUAGCCGAACGCUCUGGAAAGUGCGGCCAUAGCAGGUGAUAGCCCUGUAGGCGAAAACAGUAUGAAAGAACUAGGUGUACGACAAGUAGGGCGGGACACGUGAAAUCCUGUCUGAAGAUGGGGGGACCAUCCUCCAAGGCUAAAUACUCGUGAUCGACCGAUAGUGAACCAGUACCGUGAGGGAAAGGCGAAAAGAACCCCGGGAGGGGAGUGAAAUAGAUCCUGAAACCGCAUGCAUACAAACAGUCGGAGCCUCGUAAGGGGUGACGGCGUACCUUUUGUAUAAUGGGUCAGCGACUUACGUUCAGUAGCAAGCUUAACCGUAUAGGGCAGGCGUAGCGAAAGCGAGUCCGAAUAGGGCGUUCAGUUGCUGGGCGUAGACCCGAAACCAGGUGAUCUAUCCAUGGCCAGGAUGAAGGUGCGGUAACACGUACUGGAGGUCCGAACCCACUAACGUUGAAAAGUUAGGGGAUGAGCUGUGGAUAGGGGUGAAAGGCUAAACAAACCUGGAAAUAGCUGGUUCUCUCCGAAAACUAUUUAGGUAGUGCCUCGUGUCUCACCUUCGGGGGUAGAGCACUGUCAUGGUUGGGGGGUCUAUUGCAGAUUACCCCGCCAUAGCAAACUCCGAAUACCGAAGAGUGCAAUCACGGGAGACAGACAUCGGGUGCUAACGUCCGGUGUCAAGAGGGAAACAACCCAGACCGCCAGCUAAGGUCCCCAAAUAUGGCUAAGUGGGAAACGAAGUGGGAAGGCUAAAACAGUCAGGAGGUUGGCUUAGAAGCAGCCACCCUUUAAAGAAAGCGUAAUAGCUCACUGAUCGAGUCGUCCUGCGCGGAAGAUGUAACGGGGCUAAGCCAUAUACCGAAGCUGCGGAUGCGUGCUUGCACGCAUGGUAGGAGAGCGUUCCGUAAGCCUGCGAAGGUGCCUUGUAAAGGGUGCUGGAGGUAUCGGAAGUGCGAAUGCUGACAUGAGUAGCGAUAAAGGGGGUGAAAGGCCCCCUCGCCGUAAGCCCAAGGUUUCCUACGCAACGUUCAUCGGCGUAGGGUGAGUCGGCCCCUAAGGCGAGGCAGAAAUGCGUAGCUGAUGGGAAGCAGGUCAAUAUUCCUGCACCGUCGUUAGAUGCGAUGGGGGGACGGAUCGCGGAAGGUUGUCCGGGUGUUGGACGUCCCGGUCGCUGCAUUGGAGAAGGCGCUUAGGCAAAUCCGGGCGCGGAAUUCAAGGGUGUGGCGCGAGCGACUUCGGUCGCGAAGCAAUUGGAAGUGGUUCCAAGAAAAGCCUCUAAGCUUCAGUCUAACGAUGACCGUACCGCAAACCGACACAGGUGGGCGAGAUGAGUAUUCUAAGGCGCUUGAGAGAACUCGGGAGAAGGAACUCGGCAAAUUGGUACCGUAACUUCGGGAUAAGGUACGCCCUUGUAGCUUGACCAGCCUGCGCUGGAAGGGUGAAGGGGUUGCAAUAAACUGGUGGCUGCGACUGUUUAAUAAAAACACAGCACUCUGCAAACACGAAAGUGGACGUAUAGGGUGUGACGCCUGCCCGGUGCCGGAAGAUUAAAUGAUGGGGUGCAAGCUCUUGAUUGAAGUCCCGGUAAACGGCGGCCGUAACUAUAACGGUCCUAAGGUAGCGAAAUUCCUUGUCGGGUAAGUUCCGACCUGCACGAAUGGCGUAACGAUGGCCACACUGUCUCCUCCCGAGACUCAGCGAAGUUGAAGUGUUUGUGAUGAUGCAAUCUACCCGCGGCUAGACGGAAAGACCCCAUGAACCUUUACUGUAGCUUUGCAUUGGACUUUGAACCGAUCUGUGUAGGAUAGGUGGGAGGCUAUGAAACCGGAACGCUAGUUUCGGUGGAGCCGUCCUUGAAAUACCACCCUGGUUUGUUUGAGGUUCUAACCUUGGUCCGUGAUCCGGAUCGGGGACAGUGCAUGGUAGGCAGUUUGACUGGGGCGGUCUCCUCCCAAAGGGUAACGGAGGAGUACGAAGGUACGCUAGGUACGGUCGGAAAUCGUGCUGAUAGUGCAAUGGCAUAAGCGUGCUUAACUGCGAGACCGACAAGUCGAGCAGGUGCGAAAGCAGGUCAUAGUGAUCCGGUGGUUCUGUAUGGAAGGGCCAUCGCUCAACGGAUAAAAGGUACUCUGGGGAUAACAGGCUGAUACCGCCCAAGAGUUCAUAUCGACGGCGGUGUUUGGCACCUCGAUGUCGGCUCAUCUCAUCCUGGGGCUGUAGCCGGUCCCAAGGGUAUGGCUGUUCGCCAUUUAAAGAGGUACGUGAGCUGGGUUUAAAACGUCGUGAGACAGUUUGGUCCCUAUCUGCCGUGGGCGUUGGAUAUUUGAAGGGGGCUGCUCCUAGUACGAGAGGACCGGAGUGGACGAACCUCUGGUGUACCGGUUGUGACGCCAGUCGCAUCGCCGGGUAGCUAUGUUCGGAAGAGAUAACCGCUGAAAGCAUCUAAGCGGGAAACUCGCCUUAAGAUGAGAUAUCCCUGGAGGCUUGACCUCCUUGAAGGGUCGUUCGAGACCAGGACGUUGAUAGGUCGGGUGUGUAAGCGCAGUAAUGCGUUCAGCUAACCGAUACUAAUUGCCCGUAAGGCUUGAUCCU
rnacentral:rRNA from 1 species